UCCGUGGUAGCUCAACGGUAGAGCAGGAAACUGUUAAUUUCAAGGUUCUAGGUUCGAAUCCUAGCCACGGAG
rnacentral:tRNA from 2 species